rnacentral:rRNA from 1 species
CUAGCGACUUCAGAGUUUGAUCCUGGCUCAGGAUGAACGCUGGCGGCGUGCCUAACACAUGCAAGUCGAACGAAGCACUUUGUUUUGAUUCCUUCGGGUUGAAGAACUUUGUGACUGAGUGGCGGACGGGUGAGUAACGCGUGGGUAACCUGCCUUAUACAGGGGGGUAACAGUUAGAAAUGACUGCUAAUACCGCAUAAGCGCACAGUACCGCAUGGUACCGUGUGAAAAACUCCGGUGGUAUAAGAUGGACCCGCGUCUGAUUAGCUAGUUGGUGGGGUAACGGCCUACCAAGGCGACGAUCAGUAGCCGGCCUGAGAGGGUGAACGGCCACAUUGGAACUGAGACACGGUCCAA